rnacentral:rRNA from 1 species
GAUGAACGCUGGCGGCGUGCCUAAUACAUGCAAGUCGAGCGAACAGACGAGGAGCUUGCUCCUCUGACGUUAGCGGCGGACGGGUGAGUAACACGUGGAUAACCUACCUAUAAGACUGGGAUAACUUCGGGACACCGGAGCUAAUACCGGAUAAUAUAUUGAACCGCAUGGUUCAAUAGUGAAAGACGGUUUUGCUGUCACUUAUAGAUGGAUCCGCGCCGCAUUAGCUAGUUGGUAAGGUAACGGCUUACCAAGGCAACGAUGCGUAGCCGACCUGAGAGAGUGACCGGCCACACUGGAACUGAGACACGAUCCAGACUCCUACGGGAGGCAGCAGUAGGGAAUCUUCCGCAAUGGGCGAAAGCUUGACGGAGCAACGCCGCGUGAGUGAUGAAGGUCUUCGGAUCGUAAAACUCUGUUAUUAGGGAAGAACAAAUGUGUAAGUAACUAUGCACGUCUUGACGGUACCUAAUCAGAAAGCCACGGCUAACUACGUG